UACGUAGGGUGCAAGCGUUGUCCGGAAUUAUUGGGCGUAAAGAGCUCGUAGGCGGUCUGUCGCGUCUGCCGUGAAAGUCCGGGGCUCAACUCCGGAUCUGCGGUGGGUACGGGCAGACUAGAGUGAUGUAGGGGAGACUGGAAUUCCUGGUGUAGCGGUGAAAUGCGCAGAUAUCAGGAGGAACACCGACGGCGAAGGCAGGUCUCUGGGCAUUAACUGACGCUGAGGAGCGAAAGCAUGGGGAGCGAACAGG
rnacentral:rRNA from 1 species